GCUGGGUGUGGUGGCCUACACCUGUAGUCCCAGCUACUCCAGAGGCUGAGGCAGGAGGAUUGAUUUAGUCUGGGAGAUCUGGGCUGUAGUGUGCUAUGCUUUCAGGGUAUCUGUGCUAAAUUCAGCAUCAAUGUGGUGAGUUCCUGGAAACAGGGGACCACCAGGUUGUCUAAGGAGGGGUGACCAGUCCAGGUUGAGACCAAGCAUGUCAAAACUCUCAUGCUGAUCAGUAGUGAGAUUGCACCUGUGAGUAGCCACUGCAGUACAGCCUGGACAACAUAGUGAGACCUUGUCUCU
rnacentral:SRP_RNA from 1 species